CAAGAGUACGUGAAACCGUUCAGGGGUAAACCUGAGAAACCCAAAAGAUCGAAUGGGGAGAUUCAUCGUCAGCGGUACUGGUACGUGUGCGGUUCGCGAUGUCCGAGACUUCGGUCUCGCGGCACGCGUCCGCAUGUUUUUAUUGCCUGGUAUCGUCGGCGUGCACUUCUCCCCUAGUAGGACGUCGCGACCCGUUGGGUGUCGGUCUACGGCCCGGGUGGGUGCCUGUCUCGUGUGCGCUUUAUCGUGUCACUGCGGGGCAGACCCCCGGUUGCCUGACCGGCUGCUCGGCGGUACUCGCAAGGUAUCUGGCCGCAAAUAUUCGAACUGCGUCCGGCCCGUCGCAAGCGAGGCGAGUGUUCCCGAAUGUACGGAUCUAAUGCCGUCAUCGGGCCUAGCCAGCUGUUGGUUGACGGUGUCCUAGGACUGGCUAUAACAAUUAUGAUACCGGUCAGCGACGCUACUGCUUUGGGUACUUUCAGGACCCGUCUUGAAACACGGACCAAGGAGUCUAACAUGUGCGCGAGUCAUUGGGAACUAUUAAGCCUAAAGGCGCAAUGAAAGUGAAGGUCGGCCUUGCGCCGACCGAGGGAGGAUGGGCCGCGUCACGAUGCGGUCCCGCACUCCCGGGGCGUCUCGUUCUCAUUGCGAGAAGAGGCGCACCCAGAGCGUACACGUUGGGACCCGA
rnacentral:rRNA from 1 species